UACGUAGGGUCGACACGUUGUCCGGAAUUAUUGGGCGUAAAGAGCUCGUAGGCGGUCUGUCACGUCGGCUAGUGGAAAACCUGGGGCUCAACUCCGGGCCUGCAGCCGAUACGGGGCAGACUAGAGUUCGGCAGGGGAGACUGGAAUUCCUGGUGUAGCGGUGAAAUGCGCAGAUAUCAGGAGGAACACCGGUGGCGAAGGCGGGUCUCUGGGCCGAAACUGACGCUGAGGAGCGAAAGCGUGGGGAGCGAACAGG
rnacentral:rRNA from 1 species